rnacentral:misc_RNA from 1 species
ACAACAAUUUUGAAGCCGCUGUGCGCUGUUUUGAUGGGUACUUUACCCCAAAGAGAAAUGUGAUUGCUGAGAGGCAUGCUUUUGAGAUUAGAACACAAGGCGCUUCCGAGUCGAACGAAAGCUACAUUAGAGCAGUGCAUUGCCUUACCGAACACUGCCAGUUUGCUGACAAAAAUGAAAGGAUCAGAGACCGUCUCAUAGCAGGAAUGAAAGAUACAAAUAUCCAAGCAGAUUCAGUUACGAGCUCUGGAUUCAGAUGUGACUCUUGAAGUUGUGGUGCAGAUGCUUCGUAAUCAUGAACUCGUGCAUGACCCGAGUACCACAGACAAUGUGAACAGGAUUGAAAGCAGAGCGAGAUACAAGCCAGCACCACAUCAAGCAAGACGCCCAAGCCAGCCUGGACCAGCUGUUGGACGAAGCCAGAGCCAGCCAGAUCCAGCCUCGUCCAGACCAAGAUCAGGUCGUGGACGAGCAGGCAGAGGAUCACUACUCUCCACAACAUGCAGCAGUAUGAGCAGAUGGUGCAGAAGCCAGACCUGCUGCCCACCUCAAGACAGCUGACCAGUGUUGGUGGUGUCCUUGAUGUCCUGGGAGUAUUCAGUGCAACCAUCAAGUACAAGCAGGUGAGCCUUGAGAAUGAACAUUUCUAUGUUCUGGACACUUCUCAGAAUCUGUUGUCACGCUCCACUGGAGAGAGGCUCGGAGUGAUUGAAUUCACUGGAGAGGUGAGACUGUCUCAGAAUGUGUUUGGUCCAACUGGCUUGAUGAACACAUCACCAAUCAAAAUCAGGCUUGUUGAUGAUGCCGUACCCUCUGCUGUGCAUACUGCUCGUAAUGUGCCAUUCCCACUGCUGAAGUCGGUGAAACAGGAACUGGAGAGAAUGGAAGAUGCUGGAAUCAUCAGGUCAGUCUCAGAACCCACUGACUGGUGUGCACCAAUGGUGCCCGUUCCCAAGGGUGGUGGUUCAGUCCGCAUCACGGUCGAUUACAAGAACCUGAACAAGUGUGUGAAGAGAGAGAUCCACCCUAUCCCCACUGUGGAACAGUUGACAGUUGAACUUGCAGGUUCGAGCAUCUACAGCAAGCUGGAUGCCAGCUUGGGGUUCUACCAGCUCCCACUGGACAGGGAGUCACAGCUACUGACCACUUUCAUCACCCCAUUUGGCAGGAAGGCAUUCCAGCGGCUUCCAAUGGGGAUAAACCUGGCGCCUGAAUGUUUUCAGAAAAAGAUGCAGGAAAUGCUGGCUGGUCUUGAUGGUGUACUGAUAUACAUGGAUGACAUUGUUGUGUACGGUGACAGUGUGACGCACGACGAGCGUCUGCAGGCAGUUCUCCAGCGGAUCGAGUCAUCCGGGCUGAAGCUGAACAAAGCGAAGUGCGAGUUCAAGAAGGACAGCAUCAUCUUCUUUGGCCAGAAGAUCAGCAGCAGAGGAGUGGAACCGGAUCCUGCCAAGCUCGCAGCAGUGAGGGAACUGCAGGCGCCACAGAACGAGCAGGAACUGAGGAGCCUACUUGGAACCGUCAACUAUCUGGACUCUUCAUGGCUGGAUGGAGGGUCCGAGGGCCCUGCAGGACUACUUCAGCGUCCGGCAUGACCUGAGUGUGGUGCACCUGUCGUCAGGCCCUCUGCUCCUGUACCGCAACCGUCUCGUCAUCCCUUCGAGUAUCAGAACCUGUCCACCGAGUACGGUUUCCGGCAUCGGAUAACCGACCCUCACACGCCGUCUUCGAACGGCGCCGCUGAGCGCGCCGUGAGGACGGCUAAGUGGCUCCUCCGCCAGCGGGACCCGCAUCUGGCGCUGCUCAACUACCGCGCUACGCCGGUGGAGGCGACAGGCCAGUCGCCUGCUCGUCUGCUCUUUGGACGCGAGAUCCAGACUCGGCUUCCGCGUCCGCGGGUCGUCGAGUGUCAGGACUCUACACUCGACGCCGCGAGGAGGAGGGAUGGCGAGAGGAAGGAGCUUCAACGGGAGAGCUUCAACAAGCACCAUGGAGCGCGCGACCUGCCGCCGUUGCGGCCUGGGGA